AGGUGGCUAGCUAGAAUUGUGUUUUGUUCCCAUGAUUUUGGAACACACUGAUUGUAUACCGUGUAUAUAUUAUCGUCUUUUACCUAGUUAUCUUAGAAUUAGAUUAUUAAGCAAAAAUUGGUGUGGAUGUCUACGUCUCCUGACAACGGUGAAAAGACUGAGUGUGAUUCAGGCUGGGAACAAUUAUAUUUCGUUAAUGUAUAUUUUACGUAUACUUAAUCUGACCAGAUUGACGAAAGACAAGAACCACACAACCCCAACAGGAGGGAAGAUGUAAAUGCGAUAAAGAAGCAGGGCCGCAUCUAAUAUAAUCUCUUGGGUGGGGACAUAGACGCCUUGAUCGUCAAGCUGCCAACGUUCUGCCAUCCCUUCUUCAACAAACUGACAAGGUAGUUGAUGGCCAACAUGAUAUUGGAGAUCAGCUCGUCCUCAGUCAUUCCGACAUUGCCAACGGCAACACCAAGACAAAGAACCUUCUUCAGCUGGAACUUGAUGGUGGAUUUGACAUCGUUGAUCUUGUUGGAGAGAUCUUCGGCGUGGGAGACCGGGGUUGGGAAUUUACCAGCCUUGGAAAGACCAGGCCCCAAAAGCCGGGGAACCAUCUUGAUGAUGCUGUCGGAGGCGACAAAUGCAUCAUACUUGCGCGCCAACUUCUUGAUGAGCUUCUUGUUCUUGUUCAGCUUCUUCAAGUCCUCAGUGGACAUAGAGUCGAUACCGAGAUGCUUAGCACGAUCAAUAUCAUGCUGGUCACCGAGGACACAGAUGCUCAUGCCCGGGCGGGGAACGGAUGGCAGCUUGAUGGUGCCAGAGAAACGCUUGUCACGCUGAGGAUCGUAGUUCUUCAAGCCUAUCUGGAGCUCAACCGUCUCGAGAAAGUUUCUCUUCUUCUCAUUCAGCGAGUAAUCGAGGAGUUGUUGGACAUUUUGGCGCACUCCGGCGACUGUGAUUUUCGACAUGAUGGCGACAGUCUUCCAGAAGAAAGUUGAUUCUUAUGGUGAGGAUUUGCGCUUGAGGGAC
rnacentral:sRNA from 2 species